rnacentral:piRNA from 1 species
UGGUGGUUCCAUGUGUGCUAAACGUGU